GUGCUCACUUUGGCAGCAUAUAUACUAACAUAGGAACAAUACAAAGAUUAGCAUGGGCCCUGCACAAGAAUAAUAUGUGAAUUAGUGAAGCAUUUCAUAUUUUU